rnacentral:rRNA from 1 species
AUUGAGCGCUGGCGGCAGGCCUAACACAUGCAAGUCGAACGGUAACAGAAAGCAGCUUGCUGCUUUGCUGACGAGUGGCGGACGGGUGAGUAAUGUCUGGGAAACUGCCUGAUGGAGGGGGAUAACUACUGGAAACGGUAGCUAAUACCGCAUAACGUCGCAAGACCAAAGAGGGGGACCUUCGGGCCUCUUGCCAUCGGAUGUGCCCAGAUGGGAUUAGCUAGUAGGUGGGGUAACGGCUCACCUAGGCGACGAUCCCUAGCUGGUCUGAGAGGAUGACCAGCCACACUGGAACUGAGACAUGGUCCAGACUCCUACGGGAGGCAGCAGUGGGGAAUAUUGCACAAUGGGCGCAAGCCUGAUGCAGCCAUGCCGCGUGUAUGAAGAAGGCCUUCGGGUUGUAAAGUACUUUCAGCGGGGAGGAAGGGAGUAAAGUUAAUACCUUUGCUCAUUGACGUUACCCGCAGAAGAAGCACCGGCUAACUCCGUG